rnacentral:rRNA from 1 species
CCUACGGGGGGCAGCAAUUAGGAAUCUUGCGCAAUGGGGGCAACCCUGACGCAGCGACACAGCGUGGAGGAGGAAGGUCUUCGGAUUGUAAACUCCUUUUAUGAGGGAAGAAUAGAUGACGGUACCUCAUGAAUAAGCACCUGCUAACUACGUGCCAGCAGCAUCGGUGAUGCGUAGGGUGCGAACGUUAUCCGGAUUUAUUGGGCGUAUAGCGAAGCGUAGGUGCUUUUGUAAGUCUUUAGUUAAAUACCACGGCUCAACCGUGGAGAAGCUUUGGAAACUACA